rnacentral:rRNA from 1 species
AGCAGUAGCCACGGUAAAACGGAGGGGGCUAGCGUUGUUCGGAAUUACUGGGCGUAAAGCGCACGUAGGCGGCUUUGUAAGUUAGAGGUGAAAGCCUGGAGCUCAACUCCAGAAUUGCCUUUAAGACUGCAUCGCUUGAAUCGCGGAGAGGUGAGUGGAAUCCCGAGUGUAGAGGUGAAAUUCGUAGAUAUUCGGAAGAACACCAGUGGCGAAGGCGGCUCACUGGACGCGUAUUGACGCUGAGGUGCGAAAGCGUGGGGAGCAAACAGGAUUAGAUACCCGGGUAGUCCCUGUCUCUUAUAA